ACAGCAGCCGCCGCGGUAAUACGUAGGUGGCAAGCGUUGUCCGGAUUUACUGGGCGUAAAGCGAACGCAGGCGGUCUGUCAAGUCAGAUGUGAAAUCCCCGGGCUUAACCUGGGAACUGCAUUUGAAACUGGCAGGCUAGAGUCUUGUAGAGGGGGGUAGAAUUCCAGGUGUAGCGGUGAAAUGCGUAGAGAUCUGGAGGAAUACCUGUGGCGAAGGCGACUAUCUGGUCUGUAACUGACGCUGAGGAGCGAAAGCGUGGGGAGCGAACAGGAUUAGAUACCCGAGUAGUCCCUGUCUCUUAUAC
rnacentral:rRNA from 1 species